UACAUAGGUCUCAAGCGUUGUUCGGAUUCAUUGGGCGUAAAGGGUGCGUAGGCGGCGCGGUAAGUCGGGUGUGAAAUCUCGGAGCUUAACUCCGAAACUGCAUUCGAUACUGCCGUGCUUGAGGACUGGAGAGGAGACUGGAAUUUACGGUGUAGCGGUGAAAUGCGUAGAUAUCUGGAGGAACACCGGUGGCGAAGGCGGCGUUCUGGACUGUAACUGACACUGAGAAACGAAAGCCAGGGUAGCAAACGGG
rnacentral:rRNA from 1 species